ensembl:lncRNA FAM27E5 family with sequence similarity E5
AUCGUUUUCCUGAUCAAGAUGACCACACUCCAGCCAAGGAUAAAAGCCCCACAGGAGCUCACUGUCCUGCAGGAGAGGAGCAGGCCCACGUCCAAGAAGAUGGCUGUAUGUUUUCACGGCUCUUCUCUGAGAAGUGAAGCCACACCACGAUACAGUCUUGAAGAGGAAGCCAGGAAUGGGAGAUGGCAACAAGCCCUGUCAUGGUGGCCUCUCUGA